rnacentral:rRNA from 1 species
UGGGGAAUAUUGCGCAAUGGGGGGAACCCUGACGCAGCCAUGCCGCGUGAAUGAAGAAGGCCUUCGGAUUGUAAAGUUCUUUCGGUAUUGAGGAAGGUUGAUGUGUUAAUAGCACAUCAAAUUGACGUUAAAUACAGAAGAAGCACCGGCUAACUCCGUGCCAGCAGCCGCGGUAAUACGGAGGGUGCGAGCGUUAAUCGGAAUAACUGGGCGUAAAGGGCACGCAGGCGGUUAUUUAAGUGAGGUGUGAAAGCCCCGGGCUUAACCUGGGAAUUGCAUUUCAGACUGGGUAACUAGAGUACUUUAGGGAGGGGUAGAAUUCCACGUGUAGCGGUGAAAUGCGUAGAGAUGUGGAGGAAUACCGAAGGCGAAGGCAGCCCCUUGGGAAUGUACUGACGCUCAUGUGCGAAAGUGUGGGGAGCAAACAGGAUUAGAUACCCUGGUAGUCCACGCUGUAAACGCUGUCGAUUUGGGGGUUGGGGUUUAACUCUGGCGCCCGUAGCUAACGUGAUAAAUCGACCGCCUGGGGAGUACGGCCGCAAGGUUA